GUGCUCGCUUUGGCAGCAUAUAAAUUAAAAUUGGAAUGAUACACAGAAAAUUAAUAUGACCCCUGUGAAAGAAUGACAUGCAAAUCUUGAGGCAUUGUAUAUUUUA
ensembl:snRNA U6 U6 spliceosomal RNA